GAACGCUGGCGGCGUGCCUAAUACAUGCAAGUAGAACGCACAGUUUAUACCGUAGCUUGCUACACCAUAAACUGUGAGUUGCGAACGGGUGAGUAACGCGUAGGUAACCUGCCUGGUAGCGGGGGAUAACUAUUGGAAACGAUAGCUAAUACCGCAUAAUAUUGAUUAUUGCAUGAUAAUUGAUUGAAAGAUGCUAUUGCAUCACUACCAGAUGGACCUGCGUUGUAUUAGCUAGUAGGUGAGGUAACGGCUCACCUAGGCGACGAUACAUAGCCGACCUGAGAGGGUGAUCGGCCACACUGGGACUGAGACACGGCCCAGACUCCUACGGGAGGCAGCAGUAGGGAAUCUUCGGCAAUGGACGAAAGUCUGACCGAGCAACGCCGCGUGAGUGAAGAAGGUUUUCGGAUCGUAAAGCUAUGUUGUAAGAGAAGAACGGGUGUGAGAGUGGAAAGUUCACACUGUGACGGUAUCUUACCAGAAAGGGACGGCUAACUACGUG
rnacentral:rRNA from 1 species